CGGGGACAGGAGUCGGACCAAUCGCCACCCCUCUCACUAAUCCAUUGCAGCCAAUCAGACUGCGGAGAAGGCGGGAACCCGCCUCCUUCGGCAGCGGCUAAUCAGAGGGAACAGCACAGCCGGCUUAGGCCUGACCCCGCCCACACAACCCUGCCAGCCAAUCGCCGCACUCUUGCAAGUGGCCAACGGAAACGCGAGACGCCGAACCGGGCCUGCCGCGCUCCGCCGGGCCGGGAUCCCUGUCCCCGGAGUCGUGUGUCCGCCCCGAGCAGCGCGAACCCGGGUUUGUUCCCGGCCCUCAUCUCCGGGCUCCAGGCGGGCAGCGCGGAGCGGCCUUUAUUUCCGCGGCCUGAAAUCCGAUCUACAGGGCCCCGGGCGCACCGCAGCACGGCCGCUCGGAGCCGGUCCCUUAUCUGCAGUACCCCCACGCUGCAACGCCCGGUUGUCACCACAGGAGCGCGGCACUGAGCUCGGUUUUAUUUUCUCUGGCUUUCGCCUGGAUGCGAUUACGUUUGCAGCACAGGAGGGCGGCACCGACCCGCAUAGUUCCCUCGCCGUAUCUCCGGGCUCCAAGGCCCGCUCCAGCCCCAGGCGGGCAGCGCGGCGCCGGGUUGGGUGCCUGCCCAGCAAUGCCCGGCGCGGCCACAGGAGGGCGGCUCUGAGCAGGGCUUAUUCUCCGCCUUCACGUGCUGCGGCAAUGCCCCGACGGGACCACAGGAGGGCAGCACCGAGCCCUCGACACAGCUCCGCCGCGGACUGACUGAACCACAGGAGGGCAGCACUGAGCCGGGUCUUUCUUCACACAAAGAAUGGCUGCACAGGAUACCUAUUCUAUCUGUAUUAACCUCAGACACCCGUACAUGGUUAUACACAAGUAUGACAGGAAAAAUCCCAAACUCUCCCCUGGCACUGAACUGAUGUCCUGUGGUGCUUCCUGAACAACAGGUUUUUCAUUUAUUUUUCUCUUUACAAAACGAAAAAUUGGUGUUUUGCAAGGUGGUCUCUAGAGAGGUUGCAGCAUCAGCCCAGAACCAAACAGUCCUUCCUGGGGGUCCAUGUGCACCCCCCUCAGACCACCUCCCAGCAUAUCGAGGAGACGGUGGCUAUGGAAGCGGGAGGACAGAAAAGAAGCACUGGGACAGACAAACAGCUUCAAGCUGAGAGAAAUAAAGAGCGUAGGAGCAAGGAAAGCUCUUCGCCACCGACCUUGCAACUCUCCCCUUGCAGCUGGGAAAUAGUGGUGGAGCCAUGCUGCAAACUGUGAUGGGACAAGGGGUUUCAUGGGAGGCCUCUGGGAGAAGUGGGAGUCAGAGGCUGACAGAAACAUUAGGUCACAGGCCCUGUGGUGUUGGGCACAGGAAAAAGGCCUGUUUCUCAGCAGCCCACACAGGGACCCGUUGCAGACAUGACAGCUGUCAGGGGCCCUUCAACCCCAGGCCUUUAGGUGCUAUUGUCACACUGAACCUCCUCACCCAUAAGCUGGUUCCAAGGACAAGUGCACAAGGACUAGCCUGUGAGUAAGGGCAGAUCCACAUCAGACACUUUCACCUGAAGAAAAACGCUCACACUGUUAACCAUCAAUCCGUUAACCACAGAUAAGGGUAAAAUAACCCUGCUGCCAGCCUGAGCCAUUUUCAAGGCAUCUAGGCUAAGCUGGAGAAGUGCUGCAAACAGAAGGCCCAAAGCCUUAUUCUGAGUGACUGCAGCAUGAACCUUUGCACAUGUGACAACUAAGUUGGUCACCAAGUAAAGGAAACCAUCAAAUAAUUAAACAAAGCACCAGGCCUAAAAGGAGCUAAGAAAAGUCUAAACAUUAAAUAAUCCACAUAAGCAACAUUAUAGCUUUAUCAUUAAGUAGUAGUAGUGGUAGCAACUGAUGUAACUCAAUGAGUAUCUAUAAAUAUUGGCAUAGGCUGAAGGGAAAUUUGGAGAACUCAGCAAAUGCAAGAAAACUUGCUGCCAAUCUGUGUACCACCCUCCUCCCACCUCCUGAGUCUCCCCAGCCAAUGUAAGUGAACACCUAUGUUGUGUGGUUGUGGAUAGGCAGGAAGACUUUGAAAUAAAGGUUUGUUCUCCCGUUUCAAGGUGCAAACAAAUAAAAGGUGGGGCUAUAGACUUACUUCUGCCUCUCUUAUCAGCAGCCUACCCACAAGGUUACCUGUAAUCUAGGUAACAGGAGGCAGGGGUGGCGAGAGGGAGGGGGUUGCAGGGUGAUUCCUCCCUCAGGCUGUAGAUACAGCCAAUGGCUGACAGGCCACAUGGACUCUUUCAAACUACAGACCUAGCAGAAGCCUGACUUAUGCAUGACAUGUAUAAGUCAUGGGUCUCGGAGGCGGGGAACAGCACCCUGGUCCCCCCAUGGCCGAUCGUCAAGCCAGGGGAGCACAGGGGGGCCCUUGCACAUCCUCCAGACGACCCAGAAGUACUUCCUGUCUACUUCCAGGUUCGUUGCCAAGCACGUGGAGGGCCACCCCCCCCCAACUCCAUGCACCCCAGCAUUGCAGUGUUCACAAGCCACAUUGGUACCUUGAGGUAUAUAGACACAGCUUUAAAAGUUUUUCCUAUGUCCAAAUCAGCAUCAAAUCUUCAGAUUCGGCCAAAUUGAAUCAGGGACAGCAAUCUGAAUCAAUGAAUCGAAUCACUGUCCCCAAUUACGGCCGAAUCCAAAUCGGAUCAGGCCCACUUUGCACACCCCUAAUGAGCAGCGCUCCUCCAUCUCAGAGUUGUAUUUUUCCCCAGGGACAGAGGCUCCAGAUAAAUGGCAUCUUCCAAGUCCACAGGAAAACAGGUUCACUUUCAUUCCCAAGCUUUCACUGAGACAGCUGUGUGACACCUAUCAGAAUUCUAAUAUUAUAAAAACCUACGCCUGUC